UACGUAGGGUCCGAGCGUUGUCCGGAAUUAUUGGGCGUAAAGGGCUCGUAGGCGGUCCGUCAAGUCGACUGUGAAACCUCAGGGCUCAACCCUGGGCUUGCAGGCGAUACUGGCGGACUUGAGGCAGGUAGGGGAGAGCGGAAUUCCCGGUGUAGCGGUGAAAUGCGCAGAUAUCGGGAGGAACACCAGUAGCGAAGGCGGCUCUCUGGGCCUGUACUGACGCUGAGGAGCGAAAGCGUGGGUAGCAAACAGG
rnacentral:misc_RNA from 1 species